CAAAUGCAAUAUUGGGUUUGAAGAUGACAAACUUCCAAGCGACGUCGUUGUGAUAUGGCUUGCGUGUGUCCCUCGUUCAGUCGCUCUUAACAAACAACCCCCUGCCGUGUUGAUGAUAUUUAGUGGUUGUCAUUGUUAAAAAGAGGAUUACCAGGUUGGAAUAACCCGUACAAGUCCUAAAAGGGCAUGGCCAGGUUUUAAACAUACUCAAAGCAAAAGUGAGGAAGCUGCAUCAAGAGCAUACAAGUUUAAUUUUGGAGACCACUGAAGGUGGAGUCGAGGAUUUAAAAUUGGGGGUGCCAAACAUUUCAUGUAGUGAAAUUUUUUCAAAGAAAAUAAACAAAAAAUCUAAAAGCUAAGGAAUAUAGUAAGGGUCAGAUAGGUGGUGUUAACUGUCCGCACACAAAUUAUGAUUAGGAAAACAGGUGAAGAUGGUACAAGAGAACCGUAAACUUCCGUGGGAUGUGCUUGAUAUCAUUUCCAAAACACUAGAUUUUGUCGACCACUUUCAAUUUGCUGGUGUGUGCAAGAAUUGGAGGACAUUUCAUAAAAUUUACUCGAGAAAUUUCUUGGCAUCCCAAGAACCUUUACUUCUUCAAAUUUCGUGUCAUCCUAAGGGAUCAUUUUCCUUUAUUAGCAUACCCAACCAAAAAGUUUAUUGCUCGAAGAUGGGGAAGUACUUCUUCCACUCUGCCUAUGUUACGAUUUCUAGCGGAUAUUUUAUCAUGGCGAGGUACAAUGAUAAUUCAUUUAUGCUAAUGUCGGCAUACUCUUCAUAUUUAGAAAUGAAAGUUAGUUGCUGUUUUAUUCUCUACAUUUGAUCAUAUUGAAAAUCUUUUUCCAGUUAGUAUGUGUAAAUUGAGAAAUGGCAAAUGAAAAUCUUUUUACCAGCGCCCACUUCCACUCUACCAAUUAACCAAUGUUGUGUUGUAGCAGUAACUCAAUGGUAGUUAGUGACAGUUAAAGAAGUUAGUUAUAAAUGUUAAUUUGUAUACUGGCUUAUGGACCAUAUGAUGUCGGACUUGAGCUAUAUAAAAUAAAAUGUAUGUCAUUGUGAUCAA